UCCCUGGUAGUUCAGUGGGUUAAGGAUCUGGCAUUUUCACUGCUAUGGCUCAGGUCACUGCUGUGGCACAGGUUCAAUCCCUGGCCUGGGAA
rnacentral:tRNA from 1 species